rnacentral:rRNA from 1 species
UUUGAUAAGAGAGUAUGAUCCUGGCUCAGGAUGAAUGCUGGCAACAUGCUUGACACAUGCAAGUUGAACGAGAAAUAGAACAACUAUUUCUAGUAGCGAACGGGUGCGUAAUUACAUAAGAACUUAUCCUUUUAAGAAGGAAAUAACAAAUGGAAACAUUUGCUAAUGUCCUAUAAGCUGAAAAGUAAAAGGAUUAAAAUCCACUAAAGGUAAGGCUUAUGUCUGAUUAGUUAGUUGGUAAGGUAACAGCUUAACAAGACAAUGAUCAGUAAUUGGUCUGAGAGGAUGAUCAAUCACACUGGAACUGAGAUAAGGUCCAGACUCCUACGGGUGGCAGCAGUGGGGAAUUUUCCGCAAUGGGCGAAAGCCUGACGGGGCAAUGUUGCGUGAAGGCAGAAGGCCGAUAGGUUGUAAACUUCUUUUGUGAGAAAAUAAGGAAAAUGACAGUAUCUCAAGAAUAAGCAUCGGCUAACUCUGUGCCAGCAGCCGCGGUGAUACAGAGGAUGCGAGCAUUAUCCGGAAUUAUUGGGCGUAAAGUGUUUUAAGGUGGCUUUAUAAGUCUAUCGUUAAAUCUCAGAGCUUAACUCUGAUUAGGCGAUUGAAACUAUUAAGCUAGAGUUUGAAUAAAGCAAGGGGAAUUUCUAAUGAAGCGGUUAAAUGCGUUGAGAUUGGAAAGAACACCAAGGGCGAAAGCACCUUGUUGAUUCAAAAUUGACACUGAUAAACGAAAGCUAGGGUAGCGAGAGGGAUUAGACACCCCAAUAGUCCUAGCUGUAAACAAUGGAUACUUAGCAUUACUAUAUGAAAAGAUAGCUAAGCUUAAAGCUAACGCAAUAAGUAUCCCGCCUGGGAAGUACGUUCGCAAGAAUGAAACUCAAAGGAAUUGGCGGGGGUUCGCACAAGCGGUGGAGCAUGUGGUUUAAUUCGAUGCAAAGCGAAGAACCUUACCAGGGAUUGUAUGUCGUAAUCUUUCUGAAAAAGUAAGAUACGUAUUUAUUUAAUAAAUAAAUACGUAGACACAGGUGGUGCAUGGCUGUCGUCAGCCCGUGCUGUCAAGCGUAGGGUUAACUCCCAUAACGGGCGCAACUCCCAUGUUUAGUUACCAAUUUAUGGUACUCUAAACAAACAGCUAAUGAUAAAUACUAAAUUAGAGGAAGGUGGGGAAGACGUCAAGUCAUCAUGCCCUUUAUACUCUGGGCUACACGCGUGCUACAAUGGCUGGGACAAAAUGUUGCAAUUCUGUAAAGAUAUAGCAAAACAUAAAACCCAGUCUCAGUUCGGAUUGCGGGCUGCAACUCGCCCGCAUGAAGUCGGAAUCGCUAGUAAUCGCUGGUCAGCAAUACAGCGGUGAAUAAGUCACCGGACCUUGUACACACCGCCCGUCACACUCAGGAAAUUGGUCAUGCCCUAACUCAUUUUAAUAUAAUGAUAAAGGUGAGGCUGGUAACUAGAGUGAAGUCGUAACAAGGUAGCUGUACCAGAAGGUGUGGCUGGACUACCUCAUAA